rnacentral:rRNA from 1 species
GACGAACGCUGGCGGCGUGCUUAACACAUGCAAGUCGAGCGGAAAGGCCCUUUCGGGGGUACUCGAGCGGCGAACGGGUGAGUAACACGUGAGUAAUCUGCCUUGGCUUCGGGAUAACUACCGGAAACGGUGGCUAAUACCGGAUAUGACACCUUCUGGCAUCGGGGGUGUGGAAAGUUUUUCGGCCAGGGAUGUGCUCGCGGCCUAUCAGCUUGUUGGUGGGGUAAUGGCCUACCCAAGGCUUCGACGGGUAGCCGGCCUGAGAGGGUGACCGGCCACACUGGGACUGAGACACGGCCCAGACUCCUACGGGAGGCAGCAGUGGGGAAUAUUGGACAAUGGGCGGAAGCCUGAUCCAGCAACGCCGCGUGAGGGAUGACGGCCUU